AAAUUGCAAUACAAAAUAAAUCGCUUCCUCCAUUUGGAAGACAAUAUAUGACAUUUGCUUUCCCAAGAAACAGAAUCUUAAGUUCCACCAUUCAAGUAAUAACAGAAUUCCUCUAAACUAUGAAAGCAAAAGCAAGAUUCCAAGCCAGUUCAUCGUUAACACCAAUGAAAUUUAGAUAGGACAAACUGCAUACCUAACUACAACAAUGCCAUAUAUUCUAAAGAAAUAGAUAAUUAUUAGAAUCAGUCGUCCUUGUCAAGUGAAAAAAUGACUCCGGUGACAAUAACAAUGAUGGACAACGACAACGGCAGCUAAAAUAGUUGUAAGAAACCCUUGAAUUACAACGCAUAAAUGCGCUUCUAAAUAUUUUGUACACAGUAAAUCCAGGAAUUUGAUGUUUUUGUAUAUUAAUUGCACAUAGCCUGGUAAAUUAAUAUCAGGACUAUCACGCAUACAAAGAACAAGACGAACUCGAUAAUACUAGAUUAGAAUUACAUGAAUUCGAAGCCAAAACAAAAUUAAGUUAGUACCUAUUCCACGGCUAGCUCCAGU
rnacentral:misc_RNA from 1 species